UAGAGUCCAUGCGUUUAGCACCAUGUUGGUAUAGAGACCCAUUCAAAAACGAAAAGGACAGAAUAUGUUCCUGAUUCCUGAAUGAAUUCUUAUGUGAGGCCAGAGGGUGGUAGGACCUGAAAAGCAUGAGAGAGAUGGAGCCUGUGACAGAAGAAAGGUAAAGAAGUGCCAUCUGCUGGCAGAUCCUAGAAGUGCAGGCGGAGGCUCAAGGAAGAUUUGCAGUGCAAGGAAAAAUCAAUAAUGGAGAGAGUGACUGUGAGUGCCUGGAGAUCCUUGAGUCCUUUGGGUAAAGAGUCCCUAGCUCUCAGGCUGGUGAGUGAUGACUAUGAUUGUGCUGAGUGGCUGGAUAUUUUCCACAAUGGGACAUCUACUCAUGGACAGCAACACCAUAGUAAGUCAUCUGCAGACACUUGAGUUGUGGGGACAGGAGCAUCUUGAUUUACCUUCUAAUCACAGAAGUUUGUAAAUCCAGUGAGUAGAUAAAGUCAGC